AAAAAGCGUUAUUAAUUUAUUAUUUUAAUUAAUUUAUGGAGAUUUAUGUCUGAGAUUUAAACACACAGUUAAGUCAGGAAAGUCAAAAUUAUAUAUUUUUUUCUGCUUCCAUUCCUUUAUCUAUUAUUUCCCCAUCACAAAGGUAUGCCCUCUUUCCUAUGACCCCUGAAAUCAAGCACCUAUGGACAAAAAAGCUUUGUUAUUUCCAAAAUGGUGUACAAUGCCAACUUCAGCAGCUCAGCCUCACAGCCUUCUCCUGUGAUAUAGCAAAGUAUUUAUUACUACUUUCACAUGAGUGAACUGUACCCACCCAAAGUGUAAAGUUUUUCUUCUCUGCUUCAGUGCCUAAAACUUGGCUCCUUUUCCAGAGGGGCCAAAUACCUGUAAACACCCUCCCUUCUCAGAGUGCUGCAUCUCUGCAAAGUAAACAGUGUUCAUGAGGGUGCCUAAAUACAUCUCCAAGUGCCUAUCUUUAGGCCCCUGAGUCUCUGUGAACCUCAGGCCCUGCUUGUGGCAUGAAUCACUCUGCAGAGCAAGGUUAGGACAGAGGAAUACCCAAGUCUUAAUUUAAUUCUCUCAACCAUCCUGCUGCUUAAAUGAGAAACCCAACUGGGAAUCUUAGUUACAGUAAUAUACUCACCAAACAUAUUGUGUUCAUUUAUUUGAAUUACUUUAGGAAUAGAAUCACCAGCCGGGAGAACAAAAACAAUCCUGCACAAAAUGGAUAAAGGGUUCACAGCUUGCUGUAAAAGGAAUCCCCAGAAUGCACCACAUUUGGAUCCAAGCACUCCCGUGGGUUUCCUUAGCCACAGAGGUGCCAGAGCCCCAGCAGUAGGCAGCUAGCAUUGCAAACCUACUCCCUUUCUCAGGUUUUUCUUAGCUAGCUUCUUUUGUACCUGCAUUCAGAUGACAAAGUAUUUGAGCAUGAAUUAUCAUCAGUAUGGAUAUGUGAUUUUUUGCCCUUAGUCUCCAUUCUCCUGCUACACACAGGUCACCUGAUCACCCACUUCAGCAAAGGAGGAGCAUGCCAGACAGUCCAUGUCUUUCAUAAUCUCCUGUUUGGUAUGAUGGAGGGGAUAUAUUUUGAUCUUCUUCAGUCCCUGCCCCUUGCCCAGUAGAAUCAGACUGGGAGAAAAUGGUAUGUAAACUAGCAGAAACUCUUUGGGGAAAAAAAAAGCAAUUACAGCAAAAGCAGAGCUCCUCUCAAGCUUAAGCCCCUCUGCAGAGCCUGGUGGCAGCUAGAGCCAGAAGUAAACUUAAAUAGCAGCCAUCAGACAGGUCUUCAUGUAAGGAUGCACCAGUUACAAAACAAACACAUUUGCAAGGGAAAAUACAGAGACCUGAAGUUAAGCCUAGUUUUGUUUUUUCUGUUUGACCUAGCAGCUUCCCAAGACUGCCUUUUGGGACACCAACUUCCUUCUUCCCUCACAUCUGCAAAGGACAACCUCAGAAAAGAGAAGCAUUUAGAAAACCUCUGCAUAAAACCGUUCCCAGACAGAGCUCUCUGUAGAGCCCAGAAGGACAGGCGAUAUCAUCGGUUUGCCAGGUCUGACAAAGCAACACAACCGCUUAGACGUGACUGUGUUUGUUUGUCUCACUGGUAGCACAGCCCUGAAUCCUGCUGUCACAUGCCUCUGAGCACUUCAGGCCAGGGAAUGUCUCUCAAGAUUGUUGGUAAAUUCUUAUCUGUAUUACAGUUGCAGAGGUGACGCUUGCAGACGUAACCCUGAGCAAAUCUGAGCCAGGCGGUAACCCUGGUAAUUUGGAGGGGGAUGGGAGAACAGCAGCAGCCAGCUGGGAGCUGAUCAAGAUGCCUCAUGCACAACCAUUUGCCUUCUACAGCUGCUAGGGCUCAAGCUAGGACCUGUACUCAGCAAGACAGGUUAUGAACACACAGAAGAAAGGUUAUUGCUGCCUGAAAAUGCUCCUUGAAUCCUUGGUGCCACAAAACAAUAGUUCUUUUAGCUCCCUUUUCUUGAUCUGCACUGCUCAGAGCUGCUGCAGUGGGGCCUGAUUUAUACUUAGAACUAGCUGACAUAUUGAAUGAAAAAGCACACUUGAAAAAACACACCCUUUGGUGCUCAUUCCAAAAGCUGCUGAUGUGUCGUGGCGAUGUGUGUGUUGUCGUGGUGCCUUGAUUCACGCCAUACCUAAGCCCUCGGUGUGUUUCACCAAUGAGAAGAUUCUUCUCUCUGAUUAUUAGGACACAGUGAUGUCAGCUUGUCACAUACAGGAGGUAAAACCAUUAGUAUAGAUCAUCAUCAAAAGAUACUUAGACAAAUUUGUCUCACCUCAGGCUUGCCUCGAGCUACCAGAGCAGUUGACUGCUUUCUGCAGCUCCAUUCAGGUGCAAUGACUCUUCCAGCUGUGGUGACUCAGCAAGACACCUGACCCCAGCCAAUAUUCCACUGGGGUGAAAUAUUUCAGCCCUUUCACAAUAAGCAGAAAACUCUAGUGUGUGUUUACUCCUCUUAACCAAUUUUGCUUUCCCCUGCCUAAAGAUUGUUCCUUGACCUCUAAAAAUCUGAGGAGUAGAGGAUACCAUUGGGAAAUGCAUAGAUCUUACCUUAAUUCAGCAGUGAAGUCAAAGUUUAUAAAAGUAGAGUACAACCAGACUUUUUUUUUUUUUCCCCCUCCUUCUCAUAAACAGCUAAAAUUAGCUAAAACCUACAACUUCAGGGGAAAGGGGGCAGUGAGGAGCAGGGGGAAAAUGCAGAACUAUUCCCAUGUCAAGUCACAUCUAGUGAAAAUGUUGGUCACGAAGACUAGGAAUUUUUUUUUAAACAAUGUAAGGUUUUACAUUAAUAUUUUCUAAUUGUAAGAAUUUCAGAAAUACUGAUACCCUUCAUUUUCACAUUAUUACACAUGUCAAUGUUUUGCUAUGACACAGAAUUUUUUAACCAACUAAAAAUUAAAAUGAAGAAGUUAAAAAUAACAAAUAGAUUGAAGAUUGAAUGUUUCAUAUUUAUACAAAGCAUUUAGAAUUCCCACUGUGCCAUUUUUUUUUAUUUGAAAACUAACCCAGGAAAUCCUGGUUGUAGGAAUGUCGUAAUUAAUGCACCCAGUCUAUUUGCUGAACUUCUAAAUUGAAAAUGUUCUCUCCCUCAGGUACUGUAACCUCACCUUGAACAAGGCCAGCAGAAAAACAAAUUGUGGGGUGUCUAGCAAUUCACCCUGUGUGAAAGCCUAUUAACCCAUUUCAUCUGUAGUGGUGUUGAUGUUUGCACCUGACGAUAAAGUGCUCUCAAAUCCAAGAGAAAACUGUUUUAGAGCACUGCUUUCUUUAUGCAUCUCUAGAGAACUAAUCUGAGAAAGCUCCUCUGGGGUUUUCAACCAAGAGACAAAAGUACAGCAUUUCCUAACACCUUCCUGCUAUGUCCAGGCACUGGACAUUUCACCAGCUGAGAUACAGCAAGAAUUGUUACCAACAGUUGUCUUCUCAAGGAAUAGGCAGUUUAGAGACAGUUUAGAGAAAAAUCUCCACACCCUACCUAAUCUCCUAUUCAUCUCUGCGCAAAGCAGGCAGUGGAUAAUAUCAAAUGAAACUGAGAACAGCUCUCAUCUUCCCGAGCAGCUAAACUGCAGUUUUAAACAUGUAAUAGAUAUUUUACCUUUACCAUUAACAAGCAGAAUACAUAAAGCGUGACUGCCUUGAUACCCGCUGGGCACUCGAGCUUAGACUUUCAUUAAUGACCUCAUUAGCAAUAAGAGAUACACAGUGUUCUGCAUUAUGAAAAUUAUCAUAAACCUGUGCUUUUGGGAGCUACUGUGUAUCAGCUAUGUGGCUGUUUCUUUGAACUACAGUCUUACUGUAGGUAAUCUAAUCAAAAUGCUAACGAACCUGUUUCCAUAUGAUCACAGAAAAAACCCUGCACUCCUGGAGAAACAAGUGAUAAGCAACAGAUACUCCUAAUUGUCCUUUCAUGCACAUUACAGUGAUGCUGAAGAAGACAAUCUGUAUUCUGCAGGGAGCAACAGCAAAACCAGCAGACAUGACUGCAGUCAAGAAAUCACAAUCCAACACUCCCAGAGGCUGGCGUUAGUAUCAUCAAUAGCUCAAGUUUUGAUUAUUGAUCAGCUCUACCUUCAUCCCCACUUUGAGCAGGCACCUUACACUGAGCAGUGCCACACAAAGUCAAAUGUUAACAACUGCUGAGCAUCUAAAAAUCUCUCAAAGUCAAUGGUGAGAGUUUCAUUCUAGGAAACAUUAAAAAAAGUAUGAAAGAGUAGGAAAAAAACUGAGGCGGUGGGAUCUCAAACUGAAUUGAGUUUGAGGGAGAAGAAAGGCUGGUUUUUUAUUCCUCAUGCCUUACCACAGUUCCCAAAGCAAGGUACAAUCCUGCAUAUUAUCUCUCUCCAGAAUUUUGCUGAUGGAUUUGGAGAGUCAACAUAGAUCCUAAUGCAGUGCGAGACCCUCCCAACCCCUGUGGGAGAACUCAGCAGGUUCUCCUCCCAGGGCAUAGUGAAGUCAGACAUUUAUUUUGGCAUCCAGAAAACUCUUUCUGAAAUCUGCAAGAAACUUGCAGAUGACCCUACUCUUGGUUAGACCACCACCACCGCUGUUCCUAUUAACAUGCAUCCAUGAAGAAUGUGUAAGAGAUCAAGUGUCUGCCUCAAGUGUUUUGUAGUCACUGCUUUAGGUGGAUGAGGGUGGCUACCAACCAACAAGGAAGAAAGUCACAGAGCUAGAGACAGCUUGGUUUUCAGAACACCAUACAAAAUAAAUCUCUUGUGUGAUUUCUUAAACCAAUGAAAUGGCAGAUAUCCAAUUUUUGAAGUGCUUAGAAGGAGCAGCACCGAAAGCCUAAAGAUAAAAUUUACACACUUUCUAUCCCUGUCCUAACCACAGUUCAGUGCCUGAGAAGAUCAUGGUGCAGUUUCUCCUGGAAAUGCCAUGUGCUUAGGCACGUGAAAAAUAAUGAGGUGAUUGGUGACAACUACCAUGGCUUCACUAGCGGCAAGCCAUGCCUAACAAUAUUGGUGGCCAUCUAGGAUGGGGUUACAGCAAUGGUGGACAAGGGAAAGGCAACAGACGUCAACUACCUGGACUUGUGCAAAGCAUUUGACACUGUCCUGCAAAAUAUCCUUGUCCCCAAACUGGAGAGGUGUGGAUUUGAUGUAUGGACCACCCAGUGGAUAAGAAACUGGCUGGAUGGUUGCACUCAGGGAGUUGUGGUCAGCAGCUCAAUGCCUAGGUGGAGACCCGUGGAGUGUCAUUCCUCAGGGGUUGGCACAGGAACCGGCAUUGUUAAACAUCUUUGUUGGCAACAUAGACAGUGGGAUUGAGCACAGCCUCAGAAAGUUGUCAUAUCACAGUAAGCAGUGUGAUGUGGUCAACAGACUGGAGAAAAGCCAGCAAUCCAGAGGCAACUUGACAGGUUUGAGAGGUGCAGCUGUGCAAACCUCAUGAAUUCAAGGAAGCCAAGUGCAAGGUCCCCGGAUUGGAUCUGGAUUGGGCUGUUCCCAAGCACAGCCACAGGAUGGAAGAAGGAUAAAGACUAGACCUGGUGUCUGUGGAAAAAAAUCUCAAUACUACCUGGCCAUCUGUGCUUACAGCCCAGAAAACCAAUUGUAUCCUACUGCCUCUGACAAGGAGGCCAGUAAUUGUUGGCCAAUUAUUUCAAGGAAUGCUAUAUUACAAAUGCAAACUCAUUCACUGAA